AUUGUUUAUCAAAGAUUUUUCAAGGGUAUUUUAAUGAUGGAUUAUUCAUUUUAUGUUUAAAUUUGAGAUAGAUCUAAUUAAAUCGAGAAGUGGGCGUUAGAAGGAGUUUCCACAUUGGAAUUACUAUGAUUAGAUAACCCCGAGGUUAGCAUUGGAUGACGGCAUUUGAAGGAGUUUCUCGGAAUGAAGUUGGUGUGCUGAAUUCAAACUCUUACAAAAGGGGGCUAAAUUGGAACAAAAAGCAAAGAUAAGGGAUUGAUUGA